GCGAUAGCGCGGUGGUCCCACCUGACCCCAUGCCGAACUCAGAAGUGAAACGCCGUAGCGCCGAUGGUAGUGUGGGGCUUCCCCAUGUGAGAGUAGGGAACUGCC
rnacentral:rRNA from 1 species